UGGGCAACCUGCCCCUCUCUCUGGGAUAACCCCGGGAAACCGGAGCUAAUACCGGAUACUCCGGCUGGAUCGCAUGGUCCGGCCGGGAAAGGUCCGCCGGAGAGGGAUGGGCCCGCGGCCUAUCAGCUUGUUGGUGGGGUCAUGGCUCACCAAGGCGACGACGGGUAGCCGGCCUGAGAGGGCGACCGGCCACACUGGGACUGAGACACGGCCCAGACUCCUACGGGAGGCA
rnacentral:rRNA from 1 species